rnacentral:rRNA from 1 species
GACGAACGCUGGCGGCGUGCUUAACACAUGCAAGUCGAACGGAAAGGCCCUGCUUUUGUGGGGUGCUCGAGUGGCGAACGGGUGAGUAACACGUGAGUUACCUGCCCUUGACUUUGGGAUAACUUCAGGAAACUGGGGCUAAUACCGGAUAGGAGCUCCUGCUGCAUGGUGGGGGUUGGAAAGUUUCGGCGGUUGGGGAUGGACUGGCGGCUUAUCAGGUUGUUGGUGGGGUAGUGGCUUACCAAGGCUUUGACGGGUGGCCGGGCUGCUCGGGUGACCGGCCAAAUUGGGACUGAGAUACGGCACAGACUCCUACGGGAGGCAGAAGUGGGGAAUAUUGCAUAAUGGGCGGAAGCCUGAUGCAGCAACGCCGCGUGCGGGAUGACGGCCUUCGGGUUGUAAACCGCUUUCGCCUGUGACGAAGCGUGAGUGACGGUAAUGGGUAAAGAAGCACCGGCUAACUACGUG